GUGACAAUGUAAUCCAUUAGCUCUUGUAUAUGCUGUUAAAUUUGAAGCUUAAGUUCCUCUUCAAAAACAUUUCUUAAAGUGUAAGGACAAUUAUAAGUAAUCAAUGAAAAGCAUACUUAACAGACGUUAGAGACUGCUUAUUUAAUAUGAUGGUCUCUUAUCUUCAUUUUGGAAUAUAAUUCCAUAUUCCAUCUGUUCCUUUUGUAGUCAUAUGUUCUUUUUCUAAGAAUACAGGUGUUCUAAACCAUAAUUGCAGAUUGAAAAUGCCUAAUAUCUU
rnacentral:misc_RNA from 1 species